CUACGGGGUGCUGCAGUGAGGAAUAUUGCACAAUGGAGGAAACUCUGAUGCAGCAACGCCGCGUGGAGGAUGACGCAUUUCGGUGUGUAAACUCCUUUUAUAUGUCAAGAAAAUGACGGUAGCAUAUGAAUAAGCACCGGCUAACUCCGUGCCAGCAGCCGCGGUAAUACGGAGGGUGCAAGCGUUACUCGGAAUCACUGGGCGUAAAGGACGCGUAGGCGGGAUAUCAAGUCAGGUGUGAAAUCCUACAGCUUAACUGUAGAACUGCACUUGAAACUGGUAACCUAGAGUAUGGGAGGGGGAGAUGGAAUUAGUGGUGUAGGGGUAAAAUCCGUAGAUAUCACUAGGAAUACCUAAAGCGAAGGCGAUCUCCUGGAACAUUACUGACGCUAAGGCGUGAAAGCGUGGGGAGCAAACAGGAUUAGAUACCCCGGUAGUC
rnacentral:rRNA from 1 species